rnacentral:misc_RNA from 1 species
UCUCCGUUGGUGAACCAGCGGAGGGAUCAUUACCGAGUUUACAACUCCCAAACCCCUGUGAACAUACCAUUUGUUGCCUCGGCGGUGCCUGCUUCGGCAGCCCGCCAGAGGACCCAAACUCUUGAUUUUAUACAGUAUCUUCUGAGUAAAUGAUUAAAUAAAUCAAAACUUUCAACAACGGAUCUCUUGGUUCUG